rnacentral:rRNA from 1 species
UACAGAGGGGGCAAGCGUUGUUCGGAAUUACUGGGCGUAAAGGGCGCGUAGGCGGCCUUCUAAGUCGAACGUGAAAUCCCCGGGCUCAACCCGGGAACUGCGUCCGAUACUGGAAGGCUUGAAUCCGGGAGAGGGAUGCGGAAUUCCAGAUGUAGCGGUGAAAUGCGUAGAUAUCUGGAGGAACACCGGUGGCGAAGGCGGCAUCCUGGACCGGUAUUGACGCUGAGGCGCGAAAGCCAGGGGAGCAAACGGG